rnacentral:rRNA from 1 species
AGGAUGAACGCUGGCGGCGUGCCUAAGACAUGCAAGUCGAGUGGGUUUAGACCCACGGCGAACGGGUGAGUAAUACCUAGGAACUUUCUUUAAGUGGAGCAUAACCCAUAGAAAUGUGGGACAAUUCUCCAUGUGGCAGUAAUGCUAAAGUCGCAAGACGCUUAAAGUGAGGCCUGGGCACCAUCAGCUAGUUGGUAAGGUAAUGGCUUACCAAGGCUAUGACGGUUAGGGGUCCCGAGAGGGAUAACCCCCACACUGGAACUGCGACACGGUCCAGACUCCUACGGGAGGCAGCAGUUUGGAAUUUUGGACAAUGGGCGAAAGCCUGAUCCAGCGACGCCGCGUGGACGAUGAAGGCCUUCGGGUCGUAAAGUCCUUUUGCUCGGGAACAAUAUUUUGAGCGUACCGAGAGAAUAAGAGGUUGCUAACUCUGCGCCAGCAGCCGC